ACAGAGAGAAAUUGAGAGGGGGAAGGGGAGCUAGAGAGGGAGAGAGAAAGACAGACACCUGCAGCCCUGCUUCACCGCCUGGGAAGCGACUCCCCCUUGCAGUUCUUGUUGUCACUGGCAUGUGACUGUGUUCUGAUCAGACACUCAGCUGACAUUUGGUGCUUCAUGACUCCCGGCACAAGUAUCAGAGAGGACCAUGUGACAAGGACAUCUGUAAAUCCCACACUUAAUCGUCCUUCAUCUUUGGAUGGCCCUGAGAGCUUUAACCCUUUGACUACCUCUGCCCACCCAGGGCCCUCGCAAGCCCAACCAUGAGUCACUGGCCAGCCUUCCUUUGUGGACUGUUUCACUCGAAGAAGCAACUGCUGAGAUUCGGGGCCCAGAACUUGCCGCGUGAGCUGAUGCUGGGGAUCUUGCCAGCUCUUGUCUGGGGUCAUGUCCGUGAACAAGCCUGAAGUUCUCUACAGGGCCCAGAGCAGCUAAGAGGCUCAGGAGCCCUCAGUGCUCAGGAAGGACCUCGCAACACUGCAGCACUGCAAGUGUUUCCAGCGUGGCUUUUGCAAACUGCAGGGCUGCCCACAGCACCUCAAUCCCUCGCUUCAGAUUGUGGGGGUCAGAGACCUCUAUGGCCGCGUGGGAGGGAGUGUUCUCUCUCAAAGAUGUCAGGGAGUCCUCAGGAAGAUGGUGGAGGUGAUGUCACGUCUUUUCUUCCUAGAAAGGCUCCCACCCAGAGAGACAGGGCUGACUUGGCAAAGAGGCUCAAAGAAGGACUCCCAAGAGCAGACCGUGCUUACAGCCGCGAGUCAGAAGUAGCCAGGACCCUUAUUAUGCUCUUAGCUUCUUUUGCACUUCAAGACCUAAUUCACACUCUCACUCCUGAAGCGUCACCACUGCAGGUAGGGGCAGGGGCCUUGUGCGUUGUAGCAUGUUCACUCAACUGGGUGUGUCAUGUCAUGCCCUCAGACACUCUUUCGUGAAGUUGCCCUGACUCUGGCUUUGCCCACCUCCCACCAGUCCCCCAACUCACAGCCCCUGUGGGCCUUGCUCUACACCAGCCUCAGAUACGAUCACCAAGGCGAGGCUUUCAGAAGCUAGUCCUUUACUUCAAUCACAAAAAAUAGGCAUUGUGGGAUAUCUGGAAAGUCACAAAGAAGAAAGUUAAAAUCACAAAUAAUGUCCCAUCUUGAAGGGGCAUUUUUAUAUUCUUUGUACUGUGUAUUUAUCAUAUGUUUUAAAGCAAGAACCAGAAAACAUGCGCAGUAUUGUUCAGAAGGCCUGGACUCACAUGAUCUCUAUUUUGUGUUCUUCUAGAAUACUGUGUUGAUAUAUAUGGACCGCAGUUUGCUGGGGCACAGCGAUCUGUCUGUCUGGGUUAAGAAACACGUGUGGUGACCUUAACCUCUCCGAGCCUCAGUUAAGGACACAGUUUAGGUCCAAAGCCUGGCAGUUACUGGGGAUGGGAGAAAAAGUGGGGGCUAGACUGU